AUUUAAAAUUUACUACAGGAAGAAAUUCAGCAGGCAAAGAAGCAUUUGGAUAAAAAGGAUGUCGACUACGAGGCAGCAUUGUCCACAAAAUUGUCGAUUGCUAGAAAAAUAUUCAAUUUAGAAAAGGAAAAAGUGCUAAACUCCAGUUCUUUCCAGCAGUUCUUAUCUGAAAACGAGGAAUGGUUGAAACCAUAUGCGGCAUUUUGCUUUUUGCGGGACUUCUGAUCACAGUCAAUGGGAUCGUUUUU